AUAAUGUAUAAAAACCUGAGAUACACUCAAGUGAAAUGAAUUAUUUACUGCUAUGGUGACUUUUGUUGUUUGCUGUGGCAGCUAACAUGCUUAGUACUGCCCCGUGAGCACUUGGCACUGCUAUGGCCAAAGUCUAUAUGGAGUGCAGAAAAACGUCCUGAGAGACGCUCAGCUGUGGAGAAUAUAUUGCAAUUAGAACCUUUAAAGGUCUCUUAUUAUAUAUUAAUUUGAAUUAUUGAUUUCUUCUGGUUGAAGUGUGUUAGAAUGCCUUGAGGAUAUCUCUUGAUAUCGUGAUUAUAUCUUAGAAUAGUUUACAGUUUCAAAAAAUAAAAAAAAACUUAGAAUAAUAGUUUAGAAUAUCUUUGAUGAUCUCACAUGAAUAGGUUCCAUAUUUUUUGUUUAUUUUCAUGAUAUUUUUUUUUUAAUGAAGCUGAAUAGUUUUCUAUUGAUAUAAUAAAUAGAACUUAGCACUUUAUCUUCUUUAUCACACUCAUCAUGCUUCUAUAUAUAAGUGAAUAUUAUUAUUCAGAAUCUUUAUUCUCUCUUUUCCUUCUUCCUAUCUAAACACUUAUUUUCAGGAAAGUGUUUGUACAAUAAGGCUUUUAUGGACUGAUUAUUCGAACUAGAAAAUUAAUUAUAUAUUCUUCUAUAUGAGAAACUGUGCCCACUUACGAUGCUUAUUCUCGUUUCAACAUACUUGGAUGCUUACACUUACAGGUGACUCAUUGAAAAUAGAUGCUCACAUGCAUAUGAUGAAAACUAAGAUAAGUGGGGGAAGGACAGGAAUGAUGAU
rnacentral:lncRNA from 1 species